GAGGAAGACGGACGUGACUUUUCAUUUUGAUCAUCUUUCAGCAAGAACUUGCCUCACUCGUGCCGCUCAUCAACCAACCAAAAAAAACCAAGCAAAAUGGUCCGAGUUGAAGUUGAGUACUGCGGCAGCUGAGGUUACGGCUCUCACUUUAAAAGGCUGGCCGACGCGCUUAGGAGGGAGUUUCAGGAUGUCGAAGUAGUGGGACGUGUUGGCAGGAAAACAAGUUUUGAGGUGACGGUGAAUGGAAAGCUGAUCUUCUCGAAGAUGGAUUUGAGACGCUUCCCGACCGAUGCCGAGAUCAUUUCCAUGAUAAAGACCAUGCGAAGUGGCUCUAAGUAGAAGAUGAGAUGGAACACCAGAGCAUGAUGGGAAAGACUCGGCGGGGCCGGACGCCGACCGUCCUUCUUUAUAUGACUGUGCACGCUGAAAGCUCAGAAGAGCGUGACACACGAUGCCUCAGAAGGCCGUCGGCUGAUCUGGAGUCUGCGGAAUCUGCUCCCAUCGUGGCCAUCUGGUUUACGCUUAAUGGAAUCAGCAAUGGGGGAGGGAGGGAGCGCUACAAAUUUGUUCUAAUUUGAUACAACAACACAAAAACAACAAAAAAAGUGUUUUUUCUCUUGAGGCUAAACAUUUGACAAAAUGAUGCCUUCAUGGUAACUGCUCAAAUUGGGAAAAAUCAAAUGAAAAAGAUGAAAAAACGGAGAUAGCUCCGAAUAUGAUUCAAUCUUUUGGCCUUUGUGUUCUUGAAAGCACACUAUGUCUGUAACGUGCGAUUCAACUCUGAUUCAAUCCAAUAAACUGCAGCUUAACACUCAAA